CUUGCUCUCGGGUGACGAGCGGCGGACGGGUGAGUAAUGUCUGGGAAACUGCCUGAUGGAGGGGGAUAACUACUGGAAACGGUAGCUAAUACCGCAUAACGUCGCAAGACCAAAGUGGGGGACCUUCGGGCCUCAUGCCAUCAGAUGUGCCCAGAUGGGAUUAGCUAGUAGGUGGGGUAACGGCUCACCUAGGCGACGAUCCCUAGCUGGUCUGAGAGGAUGACCAGCCACACUGGAACUGAGACACGGUCCAGACUCCUACGGGAGGCAGCAGUGGGGAAUAUUGCACAAUGGGCGCAAGCCUGAUGCAGCCAUGCCGCGUGUGUGAAGAAGGCCUUCGGGUUGUAAAGCACUUUCAGCGGGGAGGAAGGCGUUGAGGUUAAUAACCUUGUCGAUUGACGUUACCCGCAGAAGAAGCACCGGCUAACUCCGUGCCAGCAGCCGCGGUAAUACGGAGGGUGCAAGCGUUAAUCGGAAUUACUGGGCGUAAAGCGCACGCAGGCGGUCUGUCAAGUCGGAUGUGAAAUCCCCGGGCUCAACCUGGGAACUGCAUUCGAAACUGGCAGGCUAGAGUCUUGUAGAGGGGGGUAGAAUUCCAGGUGUAGCGGUGAAAUGCGUAGAGAUCUGGAGGAAUACCGGUGGCGAAGGCGGCCCCCUGGACAAAGACUGACGCUCAGGUGCGAAAGCGUGGGGAGCAAACAGGAUUAGAUACCCUGGUAGUCCACGCCGUAAACGAUGUCGAUUUGGAGGUUGUGCCCUUGAGGCGUGGCUUCCGGAGCUAACGCGUUAAAUCGACCGCCUGGGGAGUACGGCCGCAAGGUUAAAACUCAAAUGAAUUGACGGGGGCCCGCACAAGCGGUGGAGCAUGUGGUUUAAUUCGAUGCAACGCGAAGAACCUUACCUGGUCUUGACAUCCACAGAACUUUCCAGAGAUGGAUUGGUGCCUUCGGGAACUGUGAGACAGGUGCUGCAUGGCUGUCGUCAGCUCGUGUUGUGAAAUGUUGGGUUAAGUCCCGCAACGAGCGCAACCCUUAUCCUUUGUUGCCAGCGGUCCGGCCGGGAACUCAAAGGAGACUGCCAGUGAUAAACUGGAGGAAGGUGGGGAUGACGUCAAGUCAUCAUGGCCCUUACGACCAGGGCUACACACGUGCUACAAUGGCAUAUACAAAGAGAAGCGACCUCGCGAGAGCAAGCGGACCUCAUAAAGUAUGUCGUAGUCCGGAUUGGAGUCUGCAACUCGACUCCAUGAAGUCGGAAUCGCUAGUAAUCGUAGAUCAGAAUGCUACGGUGAAUACGUUCCCGGGCCUUGUACACACCGCCCGUCACACCAUGGGAGUGGGUUGCAAAAGAAGUAGGUAG
rnacentral:rRNA from 1 species